CAAAGUCAUUUUUAAUGAAAUUUGCAAUUUAUGUUCUGUAUCAUUAUCGUUUUGUUCUGUCAAAAUCAUCAUCGUUUGAUUUAACAUGACUUAUUCGCAUUUCUUUGAAAUUCUCCAUAUUAUUAAACAUUGAGAUGAUAAACAUUGAAUAUACAAGUCAAUUAGUAUUCAAAUAUAAUUCAGCUGAUAAAUAUCAUUGCGCCGAGGUACGCAGUAUGUAAAUAUUAUGCGACAAUAGAAAGUCGUAUGACCUGCUAGUGAAUACAAUAGGAAUUAAAAGUGAUAUCAAGGAAUGUGCUUCACUUCCGUCAAGUCGUUACCGAAACAAAGGGGGAUUUAUAAAAACCGGUAAGUGCAUCGGUUAAGUUCAUAAAGAAUGCAAAACACUACAUGAAUUCUCAGUACGUGUGUAUUCGAACUUUGCUGGAAGUCUGUGCAUAU
rnacentral:misc_RNA from 1 species